rnacentral:lncRNA from 7 species
GAGUAUAUGGGGCUAUAGGGGUGGAUAUAGGGGGAUUUGGGGCAAUAGAAGGCGGUGAGGGGGUCACAGGGAAACACAGUGCUGUAGGGAACAUUGGGGUUUUGGGGAGGGGCUACAGGAAGCUGUGUGGGGGUAUAAGAUGGGCUAUAAAAAUAAAGUGGGGCUAGAUGGUCCAGAUAUAGCUCAAAUACGGUGACUAAAAGGUGUUAUAGAGGAGAUGAGAGAAUACUGGUGGGAUAUAGGGCUAUAGCAAGGAUGUGAAGAAAUAAAGGGGGACAUGGGGCUACAGGGGGCUGGGGAGAGCUGUGGGAAGGGAUAUACAGGGCUGGGGGAGCAUAUAAAAGAAUAUGGAUCUAUAAAAGACUGUAAGGGGGAAAAAGGUAGGAUAGAAAAGUAAAUAGGUCUACAGACAGCAGUGGAAAAGCUAUAGCUGUGAUAUGGCGAAACAAGUGCAAUAGCGGAUUGUGGAGGAGUAUAGGAGGGGUACAGGGAGAUAGAAGGUUAUAAGAGAAGUAGGGGGGCUAUAAUGGGAGUGUGGGGGCUAGAGGGAAAUAAAGAGUAAUAUGGAGAUACAGGAGGAGCUACAAGGGAAUGUGGGGAGACAAGAAAGGGUACAAGCCCAUAUAUAGAAAAGAUGAGUAGAAUGAAAAAACCCAAGAGGAAGAUAAAAAAAUUCAGUGAGCUAAAACAAAAGAACAAAAACAAAAUCAAAAAUUAAAACAAAAUUGAGAAAAAAGGGAACAAAUGAAACUAUACAAAUGAAAAAAGAAAAAAGAAUAAUAAAAAAUCAAAAUAAAAAAACAGUUAAAGGGAAAAGAAGUGAAACAAAGAAAAAAAGGAAUACAAAGCAAAAAGAAAUGGAUGACAACAAAAUAGAGCAAACAAGUAGGAAAGCUAGGCAUAGCACAGCAAAAGAGAGCAAAGCAAAAGAAGGCAAAGAAUGACAAAAAGCAACCUUGCAGGAAUGGAGGAAUCUGUCCAGAGCUGUGCCCCUGCUUGCCACAGGAGCUGCGCGGGAGGAGAAGAACGUGGGCCAAAAGGAAUGGAGGAAUCUGUCCAGAGCUGUGCCCCUGCUUGCCACAGGAGCUGCGCGGGAGGAGAAGAACGUGGGCCAAAAGGUAAGAGGAGCUCCUUUGGGUUCUGGGCUUGAAGCAAAGCUGAGAAGCCAUGCCCGGGAGGAGGUGUGGGUAGCUACAGGCCACCUUGCUAUCUCCCCAAGAGAUGAGGUGCGUGGGCUAGGCACCGGGCAGGAGUGCUGGCCAGAAGCAAGCAUCUCUGUGGAGGAAGGCAAAGGGCGGAGGAGGUUCAAGGGUAGCUACCGGGCAUGGCCUUGCUCAGCAAGGGGAGGAAAAGCCUGAAGGGCACGAGAAGGGGAUAGAGAAGGGCAGGCAGUAGGCGUGAAGCUGCGAGCAGAGUAGAGAGCAACUUGGCAGAGCAGCAAGCAGAGUAGGCAAGUGUUGAGGUUUGGCGUGAGUAGCAGCAAAAGCCCAGAGCAUCAAGAAGCAGGAAGUGAGGAGAAGGUAAGUGAAGGGCAGGCAAGGUAAUGGGAGGCAAAGGCAAGGGGAAAGGGGGGGUAAGGGAGAAAGAAGGGAUGGGGAUGGGGAGGGGAUGGGUGAAGAGCAGAGCGGAGGGAAGGGCUGAGGGGAGGGCUGAAGGCAAACCUAUGAUGAAAAAAGAAAAGAAAAAAUAAGAACAAAAAAUAUGAAAAAAGAGAAAAAAAGAAAAGAAAAAUAAGAAAAAGAAAAAAUGAAAAGAAAAAAAGAAAAAAAUGAACAAAAAAGAGUAAAAAGAGAAAAAAAUGAAAAAAAGAGAAAAAAGAGAAAAGAAAAAAAGAACAUGAACAAAAAAGAGAAAAAGAGAAAAGAUAAAAAAAGAAAAAUGAUAAAGAAAAGAGAAAAGAAAAAAAGAAAAUAGAAAUAAAAAAGAGAACAGAAAAAUAUGAAAAAAAGAAAAAAGAAAAAAAGAAAAGAAAAAAACAGUAGAUGAAAAAAGAAAAAACAAAAGGAAAAACGAAUAAUGACAAGAGAAGAAAGGUAAAGAGAAAAGAAGAAAAAAGCCAAGUCAAAAAGUAAAGAAUAACUCGAAGGAAGGAGUGGAUGGCAAGAAAUACAGAGAAAGCAGUGCAUAGCACAGCAGAGCAAAGCAAGGCAAAAUAGCAGCCAAAGCCACGAGAAUCAAGAAGUCAGUGAAGAGCAGGAAAGGUAAGUUUCCCUUAAAGCAAGGGGGAAUGGUAGUGGAAGGGAGAAAAGAGAGGGGAGGGGAGGGGAAGUGAAGG